rnacentral:rRNA from 1 species
AGAGUUUGAUUAUGGCUCAGGAUGAACGCUAGCUACAGGCUUAACACAUGCAAGUCGUGGGGCAGCAUGGAGUUGCUUGCAAACUCUGAUGGCGACCGGCGCACGGGUGAGUAACGCGUAUCCAACCUGGCCCUUAGUAGGGGAUAGCCCGGCGAAAGUCGGAUUAAUACCCUAUGUUCUUCGUCGAGGACAUCUGAAGUGAAGCAAAGGCUUGCCGCUAAGGGAUGGGGAUGCGUCUGAUUAGGUAGUCGGCGGGGUAACGGCCCACCGAGCCAUCGAUCAGUAGGGGUUCUGAGAGGAAGGUCCCCCACAUUGGAACUGAGACACGGUCCAAACUCCUACGGGAGGCAGCAGUGAGGAAUAUUGGUCAAUGGGCGAGAGCCUGAACCAGCCAAGUAAGCGUGCAGGAAGACGGCCCUAUGGGUUGUAAACUGCUUUUAUAUGGGGAUAAAGUGCGGGACGCGUCCCGUUUUGUAGGUACCAUAUGAAUAAGGACCGGCUAAUUCCGUGCCAGCCGCCGC